rnacentral:rRNA from 1 species
UCUCCUACGGGAGGCAGCAGUGGGGAAUAUUGCACAAUGGGCGCAAGCCUGAUGCAGCCAUGCCGCGUGUAUGAAGAAGGCCUUCGGGUUGUAAAGUACUUUCAGCGGGGAGGAAGGGAGUAAAGUUAAUACCUUUGCUCAUUGACGUUACCCGCAGAAGAAGCACCGGCUAACUCCGUGCCAGCAGCCGCGGUAAU